CGAGUCUUGUUUCAAAUAUAUGUAUUUCUAUUGCUUGAGUACGUAAGGAAAAGGAAAGGUUAACCGCUAUCAAA
rnacentral:rRNA from 4 species